rnacentral:rRNA from 1 species
AGAGUUUGAUCCUGGCUCAGGAUGAACGCUGGCGGCGUGCCUAAUACAUGCAAGUCGAGCGAACAGACAAGGAGCUUGCUCCUUUGACGUUAGCGGCGGACGGGUGAGUAACACGUGGGUAACCUACCUAUAAGACUGGGAUAACUUCGGGAAACCGGAGCUAAUACCGGAUAAUAUUUCGAACCGCAUGGUUCGAUAGUGAAAGAUGGUUUUGCUAUCACUUAUAGAUGGACCCGCGCCGUAUUAGCUAGUUGGUAAGGUAACGGCUUACCAAGGCGACGAUACGUAGCCGACCUGAGAGGGUGAUCGGCCACACUGGAACUGAGACACGGUCCAGACUCCUACGGGAGGCAGCAGUAGGGAAUCUUCCGCAAUGGGCGAAAGCCUGACGGAGCAACGCCGCGUGAGUGAUGAAGGUCUUCGGAUCGUAAAACUCUGUUAUUAGGGAAGAACAUACGUGUAAGUAACUAUGCACGUCUUGACGGUACCUAAUCAGAAAGCCACGGCUAACUACGUGCCAGCAGCCGCGGUAAU